GAAUUCUUCUUCUGGAAAUUAUCACUGGGAGAAGGCCUGUGGACUCAUCAAGACAAAAUCUACUUUUAUGGGUAAAUACAAAGGACAUAUUUUAAUUAUUUUUCUAUUUUACUUAUAUUUCCUUCGGGAGGCGCGUGUUGGAGCAAUGGUAAAGUUGUCUCCAUGCAUAUGACCUAUAGGUUACGGGUUCAAAUCGCUGAAGCAACUACUAAUGCUUGCAUUAGAGUAGGCUGUCCACAUCCCAAAGGCAACCCUUCCCCGAACCGCUGAAGCAACCACUAAAGCGAGCUGCCUUGUGUGGCGGACCGCCCUUUUUUUUUCCUUUUGGAAUUUUUUGAAACAUUUAAGGAAAAAGACAAGAAAAUUUUGGACUAUGGUCCAUAGAUUUAACAAUGAUAUUGCUCUCAAAAAUCUCCCAUUUUGUAUGUCUUUUCCAAUGAACAUAAAUAAGCAUGUGUAAGUUGGAUAUGAAAAUGACUUGUGAUCUAAGGGGCUAGGAAAAAUCUAGGAAAUUAUCUUAUUAGAUAAAAUUUUGAAAAUAUAUUUAAAGAUGAUAAAAAUAUUGUAUUUCAUGUUAUUAUAGUUUGUUAAAUGAAUUUUAUUAAUUAAUUGCUAAAAAAUAUUUUAGGCGACACCGCUGAUGGAAGCUGGAAAAUUGAUAGAAUUAGCGGAUCCAAAGUUGGAGGAUGAGUUUGAUAUGGAUGAAUUGCAUAAGAUGGUGCUCACAGCUUCAUAUUGUGUAAGACAAUCCUCAAUAUGGCGCCCGUCAAUGACCGAGGUAAUAUACUAUUCGUCUAUUCAUAAUAUUCAACUGAGACAAAAAAUAUUAAUAAAAAAUUAUAGUCAGUUAAAUGUAUUUUUAGAAGGGGAGCCUUAGCUUAACUGGUAAAGUUGUUGUCAUGUGACUAGGAGGUCAUGGGUUCGAGCCAUGAAAACAACCUCUUGUAGCAGAGUAAGACUGCGUACAAUAGAUCCUUGUGGUCAGAGGCGGACCCAUGUGUGGGUGAGGGAUCACCGGACCCCGUAAACUUCGGAUGAAAUCAUGUAUAUAUAUACGUGUAUACCUUGAAAAUGGUUAAUUUAAAGUAGUUGGCACCCAGAAUACUAAAAGCCUUUAGGGGCACUGGUUGAGCAGAAUAAUAUGCUCCCGUUGCAUAAAAAUUCUGGGUCCGCCUCUGCUUGUGGUCCAGCUCUUUUCCGGACCCCGCGCAUAGUGGGAGCUUAGUGCACCGGACUGCCCUUUAUAUGAAUUUUUAGAAGGAGAGACUUGGAGCAAUUUAUCUCCGAGUGACCUAUAGGUCAUGGGUUCAAGCCGUGGAAGCAGCCACUAAUGCUUGCAUUAGGAUAGACUGUCUAUAUCACGCCCUUUGGGAUGCGGCCCUUUCACGGACCCUUUCUGAACGCGAUAUACUUUGCGCAUCGAGCUGCUUUUUUUUAUAUGAAUUCUUACCGACAAUGUCGCUUCAAUAAAAAAAACAUAUAAAUGAUUAUUUUUUUUUUUAUUUUAUUUUUGUUUUACUUGAUUUGUGUAGGUGUUAGAGUUGUUGAGAUAUGGGGAUGAUUCUGAAGCUGCAAGAAGUUGGAGAAUACCAAAAUUUACAAGUGAUGAAGUUGAUGAUUACUCAAUGGUUUUUGGAUAUGAUCUUCCUUCUGAUUUAAUUUUGGAAGACCUUUUCUAAUUAUUUUUUUCCAUAAUGUAGAAUUAAAAAAAAAACUUUUUUCUUAGAGUUUCCACUUAAACAAAUUAUUAUGUUUAGGUUAUUUCAUAGGACACAUAUAUAGGUUUUUGUGUUAGCCUUUUGUUAAGGGAAUUGCAAAUUGCUGUGUAGUUUAUUAAUAAUCAGACUAAAGGAAUUUUUUAUCUUAUUAUUAAUUUCAUAAGUUACAUUUUUUAAUUUUGAUUCUAUGAUUUAUCAAUUACCUUUGUGUUAUUGUUGUGUCAUUUACUUUGGUUUCUCCAAGUCUCUGUUUUUCUAUUUAUUUUUUCAAACAAAACUACAAAGUUUUGGCUAAAUCAAAUGAGAAAAUUCUGGAAUAUUUUUGCUAAUUUUUGCGCUUAUCGGAUCAUGCCUAAAAGAAUACAUGAUAAAUGAAAUAAUUUCGUUAAAUGUCACACUUCAGCUAAUAAAAAAAAAUUAUACACACUCGAUAUUUAUAUCAAAAAUACUAUGUGACGGUUUGUUUUUGCCCGUCCUAAGUCCUAAAUGAUGCAACGUAAGUAGCUAAUUGACCUAGUGCUGUAUUCCGGGCCGGGCCCGGGCCUAAAUGGGCCAAACGGGCCGGGCUUAGCGGGUCUGGGCUCUGGCGGUCCCGGACUUCAUGGGCUCAACGGGUGGAACCAGCCCGUGACGGGCCUAAGCCCAUAUGGUCCUGGUCUAAACGGGCCGGGCUCGUGGGCUUAGCGGGCCUAACGGGCUUUUUUUUAAAAAAAAGUUUUGCUUAAGGCAAUUUCUUGUAAACCAUAUCAUGGCUAUAUAAAAAAUAUAUAUAUAUAUAGAAAUCUAAUUAUUAAAGUGCUUGACGAAAAAGUAAAAUAACAAAACAAUAGUAAAACUAAAUUGUCAUGCAUAAUAAAUUAAUAAGAAAGUACAACAUGAAGUAUAAAUACGUCUAGUAAUUUUAAAAUAACACGAAUUGUUGAAAUAUCUUAAAGACGAAUUUGCGGAUAAAUACCAUCAACACAAUACGUUAUAUGCCUCCUUAAAAUGCCUGUGGUACACCCUGAACGAAAAUUUAAGACUCUUCCACAGUUCUUGCAUUUUAAUAUUUGGCCUUCUUCAUUUUCUUCAAGCACUUCAUAGUAGUGCGAAACAAAUAAGCGCACUCUUUCCGAACGAGGCAUGAUGUAACUUGAAAAUUAAGAUUGAGACUUGAAGUUUUGAAAAUUGGAGAUUAAGAGAUCGAGAGAAAUUUAGAUU
rnacentral:lncRNA from 1 species